rnacentral:tmRNA from 1 species
GGGGAUGUAAUGGUUUCGACGGGGGUGUAGAAGUAGGAUAAGCGAGCCGCAGUUGCCCAGUCUGCGUAAUAAGGGGCGCGUUAAAGAUAAACGGAAAAACUAACAAAUCUUUCGCACUGGCUGCUUGAUCAGCCCGCGACGUCUCUCGUGAUUCACCUGUAGGUUACGAAUCGGACGCAAGAAUACAGGAAAACUCUGUGUGAGUUCUCGGUAGCACAGGGGACCAACGAGAUAGUCGCUUUUGCAGAUUGCCGAAUGAACUGUAGAAACGGCGAAACAUCGAUCAUCGGAUGCGCUCGGAGAAAAUCCUGAUGGAAAUGCUUUCGGACGUGGGUUCGACUCCCACCAUCUCCACCA